GGUCCUAAGGUAGCGAAAUUCCUUGUCGGGUAAGUUCCGACCUGCACGAAUGGUGUAACGAUUUGAGUACUGUCUCAACCAGAGACUCGGCGAAAUUGCAAUGUGAGUAAAGAUGCUCACUAUGCGCGACAGGACGGAAAGACCCCGGAACCUUUACUGCAACUUGAUAUUGAAGUUUGGUGUGCAGUAUGCAGGAUAAGUGGGAGACUAUGAAAUAGCGGCGCUAGUCGUUAUGGAGUCAUCCUUGAGAUACCACUUUCUUCAUAUUGAGCUUCUAACCUAGAUCCGUUAUCCGGAUCAGGGACAUUGUCUGGUGGGCAGUUUCACUGGGGCGGUGGCCUCCUAAAAAGUAACGGAGGCGCUCUAAGGUCACCUCAGCGUGGACGGCAAUCACGCAUCGAGUGUAAGUGCAAAAGGUGGCUUGACUGUGACACAAACAAGUGGAGCAGGUACGAAAGUAGGAACUAGUGAUCCCAUGGUUGCAUGUGGGUGCGCCAUGGCUCAUCGGCUAAAAGGUACUCCGGGGAUAACAGGCUUAUACCCCCCAAGAGUCCAUAUCGACGGGGGUGUUUGGCACCUCGAUGUCGGCUCUUCUCAUCCUGGGGCUGGAGCAGGUCCCAAGGGUUAGGCUGUUCGCCUAUUAAAGAGGAACGCGAGCUGGGUUCAGAACGUCGUGAGACAGUUCGGUCCCUAUCCGUCGCGCACGCAAGAGUUUUGAAGAAAGUUGUCCCUAGUACGAGAGGACCGGGAUGAACAUACCACUGGUGUGCCAGUUGUCCUGCCAAGGGCACGGCUGGUUAGCUACGUUCGGAAAGGAUAAGCGCUGAAAGCAUCUAAGUGCGAAGCCCCUUCUAAGAUAAGAACUCUCACCGGAUUAACCGGGUAAGACUCCUUAUAGAACAUGAGGUUGAUAGGUCAGAAGUGUAAGUACAGUAAUGUAUUCAGCUGACUGAUACUAAUAAGUCGAGGGCUUGAACUG
rnacentral:rRNA from 1 species